rfam:Bombyx mori DNA, contig: Bm_scaf43_contig24215, strain: p50T/Dazao, build 2, whole genome shotgun sequence.
UUAACUCAAAUUUGUAUGGAGCUGGGACGUUUGCGUACGUUUGCCGCUAGGGGCGCUGUUCCAACUGCAUACAAAUUUGAGUUA